rnacentral:rRNA from 1 species
GACGAACCGAGCGAACGUUAUUCGGAAUCACUGGGCUUAAAGGGUGCGUAGGCGGGCUCGCGAGUCAGGGGUGAAAUCCCACGGCCCAACCGUGGAAGUGCCUCUGAUACCGCGAGCCUCGAGGGGGAUAGGGGCGUGCGGAACUUCCGGUGGAGCGGUGAAAUGCGUAGAUAUCGGAAGGAACACCGGUGGCGAAAGCGGCGCGCUGGAUCCCUACUGACGCUGAGGCACGAAAGCCAGGGGAGCAAACGGGG